rnacentral:rRNA from 1 species
GCAUAUCAAUAAGCGGAGGAAAAGAAACCAACUGGGAUUGCCUUAGUAACGGCGAGUGAAGCGGCAACAGCUCAAAUUUGAAAGCCCUCGGGCGUUGUAAUUUGCAGGAGGAAGUUUUGGGGCGGGUGCUGUCUACGUUCCUUGGAACAGGACGCCGCAGAGGGUGAGAGCCCCGUGCGAUGGCACCUCUAACCGGGUAAAACUCCCCCGACGAGUCGAGUUGUUUGGGAAUGCAGCUCCAAGUGGGUGGUAAAUUCCAUCUAAAGCUAAAUACAGGCGAGAGACCGAUAGCGAACAAGUACAGUGAUGGAAAGAUGAAAAGCACUUUGAAAAGAGAGUGAAACAGCACGUGAAAUUGUUGAAAGGGAAGGGUAUGCGAUUAGCGGCCAGCGGGGAGGAGAGGGUCGUGAAAAGGCCGGGCACCGUCCUCGGACACUGUGCGCGGAGAUGGCGACGCUUUCCUCGAGGCCUGCGAAUACUAGGUCGCUGGCGUAAUGAUUGCAUACCACCCGUCUUGAAACACGGACC